rnacentral:rRNA from 1 species
ACGUAGGGUGCGAGCGUUGUCCGGAAUUACUGGGUGUAAAGGGAGCGCAGGCGGUUUUUCAAGUUGGACGUUUAAUCUACGGGCUCAACCCGUAUCCGCGUUCAAAACUGAAGAACUUGAGUGAAGUAGAGGUAAGCGGAAUUUCCGGUGUAGCGGUGGAAUGCGUAGAUAUCGGAAGGAACACCAGUGGCGAAGGCGGCUUACUGGGCUUUAACUGACGCUGAGGCUCGAAAGCAUGGGUAGCAAACAGG